rnacentral:rRNA from 1 species
GGCCCUGCGGCGGCUACACAUGCAAGUCGAGCGGUAACAGAUCCAGCUUGCUGGAUGCUGACGAGCGGCGGACGGGUGAGUAAUGCAUAGGAAUCUGCCCGAUAGUGGGGGAUAACCUGGGGAAACCCAGGCUAAUACCGCAUACGUCCUACGGGAGAAAGGGGGCUUCGGCUCCCGCUAUCGGAUGAGCCUAUGUCGGAUUAGCUAGUUGGUGAGGUAACGGCUCACCAAGGCCACGAUCCGUAGCUGGUCUGAGAGGAUGAUCAGCCACAUCGGGACUGAGACACGGCCCGAACUCCUACGGGAGGCAGCAGUGGGGAAUAUUGGACAAUGGGGGGAACCCUGAUCCAGCCAUGCCGCGUGUGUGAAGAAGGCCCUCGGGUUGUAAAGCACUUUCAGCGAGGAAGAACGCCUAGCGGUUAAUACCCGCUAGGAAAGACAUCACUCGCAGAAGAAGCACCGGCUAACUCCGUGCCAGCAGCCGCGGUAAUACGGAGGGUGCAAGCGUUAAUCGGAAUUACUGGGCGUAAAGCGCGCGUAGGUGGCUUGAUAAGCCGGUUGUGAAAGCCCCGGGCUCAACCUGGGAACGGCAUCCGGAACUGUCAAGCUAGAGUGCAGGAGAGGAAGGUAGAAUUCCCGGUGUAGCGGUGAAAUGCGUAGAGAUCGGGAGGAAUACCAGUGGCGAAGGCGGCCUUCUGGACUGACACUGACACUGAGGUGCGAAAGCGUGGGUAGCAAACAGGAUUAGUCCUCU